UAAAAUAAACAAACAAGAAUCAAUGCCCAGUGGACUACAUGAAUUUUAAAUUUAAGAGGCCUGUAAGAGAUACACUUUAAGGGUCCCAGCAUUUUUGCGUUUCGAGAUGCCACUUGCCGUUAUAAAAAGCUAGGAAUGCAAAGGGAAUCUCUUCAAGGAAAACCCAAUUGGUGGACUAUACGAAUAUCCUUUUCCUUUUAACAUAAAAGAUCAAAUCUUAUCUAUACAGUGUGAUGUUAAUUUUAGAAUGAAAAUACAAAUUUUAAAUGGAUAGAGAUGUUUAAAGAAAUAGGAAAUAAAACCUUAUAAAUA